AUUGAAUGCUGGCGGCAGGCCUAACACACGCAAGUCGAGCGGAUGAAGGGAGCUUGCUCCUGGAUUCAGCGGCGGACGGGUGAGUAAUGCCUAGGAAUCUGCCUGGUAGUGGGGGAUAACGUCCGGAAACGGGCGCUAAUACCGCAUACGUCCUGAGGGAGAAAGUGGGGGUCUUCGGACCUCACGCUAUCAGAUGAGCCUAGGUCGGAUUAGCUAGUUGGUGGGGUAAAGGCCUACCAAGGCGACGAUCCGUAACUGGUCUGAGAGGAUGAUCAGUCACACUAGAACGGAGACGCGGUCCGGAAUCCUACGGGAGGCAGCAGUGGGGAAUAUUGGACAGUGGGCGAAAGUCUGAUCCAGCCAGGCGGCGUGUGUGACGAAGGUCUUCGGAUUGUAAAGCACUUUAAGUUGGGAGGAAGGGCAGUAAGUUAAUACCUUGCUGUUUUGACGUUAACAGCAGAAUAAGCACCGGCUAACUUCGUG
rnacentral:rRNA from 1 species